rnacentral:rRNA from 1 species
AAUUAUGUGUGUCAGUGUAAAAGUCGACCACCUCUCCGACCCGUCUUGAAACACGGACCGAGGAGUGUAACUUGUACGCGAGUCAAUGGGUGAAAAACCUUAAGGCGAAAUGAAAGUGAAGGCACGGUUAACCGGCUGACAUGGGAAACGUCCGGCGGCUUGUGUUGACGAGACGUUACACCAUGGCCCUGUCUUGUCUGCAUGCAGAUGGGCAGCGGUAGAGCGUACAGGUUGCGACCCGAAAGAUGGUGAACUAUGCCUGAGCAGGACGAAGCCAGAGGAAACUCUGGUGGAAGUCCGUAUCGGUUCUGACGUGCAAAUCGAUCGAUAGACU